rnacentral:hammerhead_ribozyme from 1 species
AUCCAGCUGACGAGUCCCAAUUAGGACGAAAUGCGCAUUUUUCUGGAU